CACUACUACAGCUGUGUGUCCAGCACGCCUCCCCGCACCCCUGCUCUGGCUACGGUGCCACUGAUUUCUCUGGGGGCCCUUCUACCCACUCCUUGAGGGCGGAGGGGGCUGUCGGUCCCAGAAAACCCCUCAUCACAGGCCUGGCCACGUUUAGUACCCGGCCACAGUGACUGAGCCAAGAGCCCCUGGAGAGAGACGUUUCCUUCCUUCCUUCCAGAAUCCGAAGCAGGCUCCGGGCUCCGAGCUGUCCUCACAGAGCCCGACGCGGGGCUCGAACUCACGAACCAGGAGAUCGUGGCCCGAGCCGAUGUCGGACGCUCAACCCGCCCCGAGAGACCUCUCUCUCUGCUGGGCUUGUUUGGGAAGAUGUGAGUCCGGGGCAUUCAGAGGCCAUCUUCCUCACCGCAUGGGGAGACCCAGUCGGCCGAAUGAAGCCACACAGAGUGGAGAUCGUUUGAGAGAGACACAGAAAGCGACAGAGAGAGAGGCAUUCGUCCAUUAGGUAAAUUGGGGCUGGCUUUCUACCAUUUGGGAUGAAAAAAAGCUCCUCAUUCCGUU